CGCGUAGGCGGCCCGAUAAGUCUGCUGUGAAAGUCCAGGGCUCAACCCUGGAAUGCCAGUGGAUACUGUCGGGCUAGAGUACGGAAGAGGCGAGUGGAAUUCCUGGUGUAGCGGUGGAAUGCGCAGAUAUCAGGAGGAACACCAAUAGCGAAGGCAGCUCGCUGGGACGUUACUGACGCUGAGGCGCGAAAGCGUGGGGAGCAAACA
rnacentral:rRNA from 1 species